rnacentral:misc_RNA from 1 species
GAUGAAGAACGCAGCGAAAUGCGAUACGUAAUGUGAAUUGCAGAAUUCCGUGAAUCAUCGAGUCUUUGAACGCACAUUGCGCCCCCUGGUAUUCCGGGGGGCAUGCCUGUCCGAGCGUCAUUGCUGCCCUCAAGCACGGCUUGUGUGUUGGGCCUCCGUCCUCCUCCCGGGGGACGGGCCCGAAAGGCAGCGGCGGCACCGCGUCCGGUCCUCGAGCGUAUGGGGCUUCGUCACCCGCUCUUGUAGGCCCGGCCGGCGCUUGCCGACACAUCAAUCUUUUUUCCAGGUUGACCUCGGAUCAGGUAGGGAUACCCGCUGAACUUAAGCAUAUCAAUAAGCGGAGGA